rnacentral:rRNA from 1 species
GCGACCCCAGGUCAGGCGGGGCCACCCGCCG